rnacentral:tRNA from 1 species
GGAGAGAUGCCGGAGUGGUCGAACGGACUUGUCUUGAAAACAAGCGUACCGAAAGGUACCGAGGGUUCGAAUCCCUCUCUCUCCG